UAACAGGAUCUAUUCAGAUCCAAAUAACAUCCUGAGGUAGGUGGAA
rfam:Mesocricetus auratus contig046551, whole genome shotgun sequence.